CAAACAUGGUUUAACUUUUUUUUUAAAUCCAUGGUUAUUUCUUAACUGUAGUAAAACAAUGUUUAAUUUUCGCAAGGGAAGUCUAAGGUUUCGUGUUAGAGAAUUAAAGUCCCAUUAAGAAGCUAACGUUAACCUAGUUUAAGUUCCCUGCUGAAAAAAACAGCAAGACCAGCAUAUGUUGUGUUUUGGUGCUGCUUUGCUAGUGAACACCAGCUAAACCAGCAUCAAACCAGCAUUAGCACCAGCUAAACCAGCAUCAAACCAGCAUUAGCGCCAGCAUCCCAUGCUGGUCAUACCAGCAUAUGUUGUGUUUUGGUGCUGGUAUGCUGGUGACCACCAGCAUAGACCAGCAUAAUUCCCAUGCGGGUUUGAUGCUGUUUUUUUCAGCAGGGUUAUCAACAUUAGGGUAACUUAACGUGGUCAUUGCUUUAUUGUGUGAGCUUAAUAUAGUCUAAAGUUUUAAUAUUUGUCUUAUAAUAUUUGUAAGAAAAUAGGAAUCCCCACUAUCGGGGUACACUAUUUAAGCCUUAUAUUAGAGCUAAUUUACACUACAUAAUAAACAUUUUCUGUUCUCCCUGCAGAUCCUGUCAAUCGAAUCACCUGUUACAACUUAGAUUUAACGUUGCUUAUUUUAUAAACCCAAAUGCAAUUUUAAGAGCCAUCCAUCCUCUCUUUCUUUAUAAUUUUCUGUCUAUUUCUUGCAACCUAUCUCUACAUACUGCAUCUGUUGUACCUGUCUGUCCAGCUGUGUGUUUGUCCUUCUGUCUUUGUCUGCUUUGCAAUGGCCACCAGAUAUACCCCUCACAAACAGGAUCCCCAGUACCAAGAGGGGAGGCUCAUGGCUCUUGAGCUGAACCAUGACCACAUUGUAGCUGAAGCCAAGAGAGCAGCUGUGGAGACGAAACGUUUAUGCCCUAGAAGAGACCCUUCACAGACCUCUAAAAGGAUCUUUGUUGGCUGGGGCAAGCCGAGGGGGAGGCAAGGAGGGUGACGCCAAGCCUCAGCUACAGGUGAAUUUUACAGGGUUGAGUGCUUCCUGUCAUCCAGUGUGGAGUUUCCACUAAACUGUACCCUCAGCAAAACUAAAUCCUCAUGAGGAAUUUGGUGCAGAGAGUGGUUCUGUGGGGGGACCCUGAUGUAUUACGUCACAAAAAACAGCCACUCCACAAUAGGGAAUGUGUAAAUAAUAGGUUUUUUGAAGGCAUCCGUCCAACCAAAUGCAUCAUUAAAGGGGAAGAUGGAUAUUGCACACAACACAAGGGCGUUUUGACUUGCAUCAGCCACUGUAUGUCUGUUAAACAUGCAAACAGCAAAGGACCCCAGACCUGAAAGACCUUCUGAGGAUUGGAUAUUGACCAGCUUCAAUAAACACCACCACACUUUACAUACUGGACCUCCUGAUCUCCUUUCAAGAACUCAAGGUCAUCUCUCCAAGAUUCUCCAGACAAGCCUUCGCAAAGCUGCUGGAGCAUUGCACGAAGUGUGGAAGAAGAUCUGGAUAUAUCAACGGCGAUGCACUGCAACGCAGCUUCUUGGAGUUUUCAUACGCUUCAUUUGAAGCAGACCAGCUCUGCUGUGGUGCUCCUUUCACCUGCCCAGCCUGAACGCUAGAAUUGUUGGCUGCUUCAGCAGAUGGAAACAGAAAGCUAUA